UGGCAAGAUGUUGGCAUAGCU
rnacentral:miRNA from 2 species